rnacentral:misc_RNA from 1 species
GUUCAUGAGUUUUACAAAGGAGUUCAAAGAUCAAGAAAACAAGAUAGAUGAGUCGAAAGAAAUAUCUUGGUCAGACAAGGAAUGGGUUAUUCUUCAAGCUUUGAUGGAAUUAAGGAGUACAGGAUUCUGGGUAUGCAGUAUUGUGUUGGCUGGUUUGUGUGGAGAUGAUAGAGCGUACUUGGCGAUGAGAAAAUCAUCUGGGGCAUUAUCUAACCCUACUUUGAUCAAUUUGGAUUCAAGUGUCUGUGGAGUUGUAAUAGGGGAAGGAUGUGUGCUGAAGGAGGUCAGAGAGUUGAAAGAUUCAGCUGAUUGCCUUGUAGAGGCCAUCGCUGGCGAAAGCAGCAGUGACGCGGCAGCAGAGGAGAUGCGGAGAAAAUUGGAAGAGUUUGAGAAGCUGCUGGAUCGCUUAGGCAAGGAGGUGGAUCGUCUCUUCUUUGAGUUGUUGGCUGGGAG